UCUGAUCAAUGAUCGAUACCUUUUUUAAAAUGUGACUGUUGGAUGAAACAUGCGGAUAUGGGACUGAGAUCAGAA
rnacentral:snoRNA from 1 species